UCUAAGUAACCCCAAACUUUUCAACGGUAUACACACACACACACACAAUUGACAGAUUGGAUUACGACUCAAUAAGUGUUUGUAGCUGUGCUCUAAUUUUAUUGUCUUUGUACCAGCACAAAGUCAGAUACACACCAAAGAUUUCUCACCAUUCGAUGAGUCUCUGGACAAAAAUCCUGUGGUGAGAUCAGUGAUACUCAAACUCCUGCUCAAGUACAGCUUUGAUGAAGUCAAGGAAUAUCUGCAGCAGCAUUUGACAUCGAUAGAAGAGAGCAACAUUGUCGAUGCAGAAGAUAAAAAUGAACUGUAUGCGUUGUACAUUAACUGCCUUGAGGACUCAUUGUUGGAAAGAAUGCCACAAGAAAACACCUGCCUUCAGGAAGAGACUGAGUUCUUGCAUCACUUCCUGGACUCUGUCACUGACUCGGCUGAGACGGUCACAAUAGAGUACCUGCAGCAGAUCGCUAGGGUCCGCCUGUGCCUGGGCAAGGCUGCACACCUUCUCCAUAGCAUGCU